rnacentral:rRNA from 1 species
CAAUAGUGUAUAUUAAUUUUGUUGUGGUUAAAAAGCUCGUAGUCGGAAAUUGAGAUGAGUAUGACAAGGUGGUGAGCAAGUCUUAUUUCACCGUUGUAUUCACUCGAAGUUUGGGAGGUGUAAGGUCUCUGAGGGGAUUGAUUUCUUCUUUGGAUGUACCGCCCUCCUCAUUUAUUAUGACAAAAUCGGAGUGUUCAAAGCAGGCAAUAGAAUAUGCCAUUGAACGUUACAGCAUGAGAUAAUAAAAUAUGAUGAUCGUAAGAAUUUAUUGGUUUCUUUUACAAUCAUAAUGAUAAAUAGGGCCAGUCGAUGUUUCUAGUAUUGAUUUGUCAGAGGUGAAAUUCUAGGAUUUAAUCAAGACUAACGAAUGCGAAAGCAUGAUUUUUCUUUUUGAACAAGCAUGGUUUCAUUGA